ACUCUGUAUCAGCGCUACCCAGUGCGGGUGUGGUCCACGGACUGGCAGCAUCAGCAUCACCUGAGAGCUUGUUAGAAAUGUAAAUUCUUAGACUCCUCCCCAGACCUACUGAAUCAGAAUCAGCAGGGUGCAGGCCAGAAACAGAUGUUUCAGAAACUCUCUGGGUGAUUCUGAUGCACUGUAGUGUUUGAGAAGAACUACUUUAAAGUUUGCAGUUACUCCCAUGGACAUUGUAAGAGUUUUACCUCCAUCUUAUGAAGUAGAGAUGUUUUGAUCCAUUCUACAACGGAAUAAGAGAAGGCACAGAGAAUAUAAGGUGCUAGCGGAGCUGAGACUGUGAACAUCAAUCAGCAGGACGCAUAGCUGAGCCCCCAGGAUCCCUGACACCAGCAUAAUUUACAGGCAAGAUUCUGCAGCUGUCAGAAUAUCUGGUGCUUGAAGCGGCGUUCCAUGACUUUUCGCUGAUUGGCAAGUCUCCUCGAGAUGCCUUGGGAUUUUGUUACCAUCUGGCAUUGUUCCAUAUCCCUUGUCUUCUGAGUGUUUUAUGAUGAUUAACUGGUUAAACUUCAGAAAAGCUGCGUAGGGUAGACAGGGGCAAGAGGCAAUCGCUUCCUUUCAAGCUCGAGAUGAGGAACUGCUCAUGCAUUGGGAUGGUAGAUGACUCAUACAAGAGCAUAAUGUCACAGAUUCUCGUACCAGAUCAUAGGUUCAUUUAUUAGUUGAUAUUAUUGAACAAUUUUGUGCGCUGGGAACCAAGCUAAAUACUGCGCUUAGAGGAAUAAGACGAAAGACUGCCCUUGUGGAGGUCCCAGACUUAUAGAGGAGAAACAUAUACGCGCAAAAUGUUGGAGGAGAGAAGCAUAUAAAAAGCACAGUAAAAAUACCUGGCAGCUUGCAAGACAGGAUUCAAGGAGGCAACAUCUGUCUUUAGUUUUCAAACAUGAGUGUGAAUUUUCCCUAAUGCAUGUUUGUGUAAGAUAGGAAAGGGAGGAGGAGAAGCAAUUUCUGGGGUCUAGAAUGUUUAGGAAACACUGUGCAAAAAAGCACAGAGACAUAACGUAGCACUUGUUCACGUCUGUACACUCCUUGGACCAAAAAGUGGGCUUUGUAGCUGGGGCUAACAAUUAUGAUUUGAAUUUUUGGAACCAUGAGAGCUAGACCGGAGUCAUCUUAAAGCAUUUAAGGAAUGAGAGGUCAAUAAAUAAAUAUGGCAAUUUACUAAAAAUGGUUAUGUCACCUCUAAAAGACAUAAGGAACUUUUAGCUGAAAAACUUAUCCUGAACAAAGAGAAAAAUGAAUUGAGAAAACUCACAGCUAAGAGGCAAAGAACCAGAGCGUCUAGAAUUGGGCCAUAUUAGGCUUCUGCUGUUUAGGCAAAACUGUGUGGGGAAAGUCCUUUGAACAUUUUGAAGAUUAAAAGUGAAAUUGGAGAUGACCGAGUACUCCUCAAUCCUCGGCUCCUUUCUGCAAGCACGCUCAACUUGCUCUGGCCUAGAAACAAUCAAACCUACAACUCAAAUCUAGUCCUUAUUUGUAGCAGAUUAACUUUGUACUUUCACUGCUCAAUUCCUAAUCUCAGUAUUCUAUGCCUUCUUCCUCUACUCAUUUUUGCCUUAACCCAUCGUUAAUCGAGCCAGUUUCCCAUCUCCAUAUUUCUGCUCCCUGUCCCCAACACUCGUGUACAUUGUGUCAGUGAUCCAUUGUCUUGUAAUCAACAGCCCCAAACUUGAUAAAAUAAAAUAAAAACAAUUAUUUAUUACAAUUCUGUGGGUCAGGAAUUGGGGCAGGGCUCAGCAAGGUAGCACUUUUGUCCUCCAUGAAGCUUACAUGGGUCACUCAAGUGGCUACAAUUUGCUAAGAGCUCAGAUGGGACUGGAACAGCCAAGAUGGACUCUCCUCAUUCAGGAGCUCCCUUCGGGUGUUCUCUAAUCAUUCGCUAGUUUGGUUUGGACUUCAUUAGAGCGUGGAGGCUGGGCUCUGAAAGACAAGAAGCAGAAGCUGCCUGUUCUAUUAGGGCCUUGAUUUGGAUGUCCCAGAAUGUCACUUUCAUUGCAUUCUAUUGGCCAAAGGCACAAAACUGUAGCCUCUUCUUGAUAUGAGUGGCAUUUGCUUAUAAGGAUGGGGGAAACUGAUAACUAUCUGGAAG
ensembl:lncRNA